CGAUGAUCUCCCGCUUGCGGGGGUGAUUAGUGGCGAACGGGUGAGUAAUACGUGAGUAACCUGCCCUUGACUCUGGGAUAAGCCUGGGAAACCGGGUCUAAUACUGGAUACGACCUCCUGUCGCAUGGUGGGGGGUGGAAAGGGUUUGACUGGUUUUGGAUGGGCUCACGGCCUAUCAGCUUGUUGGUGGGGUAAUGGCUCACCAAGGCGACGACGGGUAGCCGGCCUGAGAGGGUGACCGGCCACACUGGGACUGAGACACGGCCCAGACUCCUACGGGAGGCAGCAGUGGGGAAUAUUGCACAAUGGGCGGAAGCCUGAUGCAGCGACGCCGCGUGAGGGAUGACGGCCUUCGGGUUGUAAACCUCUUUCAGCAGGGAAGAAGCCACAAGUGACGGUACCUGCAGAAGAAGCGCCGGCUAACUACGUGCCAGCAGCCGCGGUAAUACGUAGGGCGCAAGCGUUGUCCGGAAUUAUUGGGCGUAAAGAGCUCGUAGGCGGUUUGUCGCGUCUGCUGUGAAAGCCCGGGGCUCAACCCCGGGUCUGCAGUGGGUACGGGCAGACUAGAGUGCAGUAGGGGAGACUGGAAUUCCUGGUGUAGCGGUGAAAUGCGCAGAUAUCAGGAGGAACACCGAUGGCGAAGGCAGGUCUCUGGGCUGUUACUGACGCUGAGGAGCGAAAGCAUGGGGAGCGAACAGGAUUAGAUACCCUGGUAGUCCAUGCCGU
rnacentral:rRNA from 1 species